rnacentral:rRNA from 1 species
AGUGAACGUUGGCGGCAUGGAUUAGGCAUGCAAGUCGAGCGAGAAGUGUAGCAAUACACGGAAAGCGGCGGAAGGGAGAGUAAUACGUGGGAAUCUGACCUUAGACCUGGGAUAGCAGCGGGAAACUGCUGGUAAUACCAGAUAAUGUCUAUGGACCAAAGGUGUGAUUCCGUCUAGGGAUGAGCCCACGUCCUAUUAGCUAGUUGGUAGGGUAAUGGCCUCCCAAGGCGAUGAUGGGUAGCGGGUGUGAGAGCAUGACCCGCCUCACUGGGACUGAGACACUUCCCAGACACCUACGUGUUGCUGCAGUCGAGAAUCUUCGGCAAUGGGGUAAACCCUGACCGAGCGACGCCGCGUGCGGGAUGAAGGCCUUCGGGUUGUAAACCGCUGUCGUAGGGGAGGAAAUGCUGGUGGCUUCUCCCAUCAGCUUGACCUAUCCUAGGAGGGCGGACGGGCUAAGUUCGUGCCAGCAGCCGCAGUAACAC